rnacentral:sRNA from 19 species
AAUAAGCGAGCGCUGAAUCCCUGAAUAGGGAACGGGGGAACCACUUCUUGGGGUGAAUCCUUUUUCAGGUAGGGUUAACUUUCGACCCGAACCCGGCAGCUAACUUCGUAAGCGUAGAAAGGUGAGGUG